GGGAACAUGGGGCUGUACGCUGCGGUGGCAGGCGUGCUGGCCGGCGUGGAGAGCCGCCAGGGCUCUAUCAAGGGGCUGGUGUACUCCAGCAACUUCCAGCCUUGAUGACUUACAAGCCCUCAAGGGGAAGCAUUUUCUCCUGGACUCCUUGAUGCCGGAGCUGCUGGUGUUUCCCGCCCAGACAGAUCUGCAUGAACACCCACUGUACCGGGCCGGACACCUCAUUCUGCAGGACAGGGCCAGCUGUCUCCCAGCCAUGCUGCUGGACCCCUGCCAGGCUCCCAUGUCAUCGAUGCCUGUGCCGCCCCAGGCAAUAAGACCAGUCACUUGGCUGCUCUUCUGAAGAACCAAGGGUAUGCCGAGCAGACAGCUGGAGGAUCCCGGGGCAGGGACACCUAGCCCGGUGCGUCUGCAUGCCCUGGCAGGGUUCCAGCAGCGAGCCCUGUGCCACGCGCUCACUUUCCCUUCCCUGCAGCGGCUCGUCUACUCCAUGUGCUCCCUCUGCCAGGAGGAGAAUGAAGACAUGGUACCAGAUGCGCUGCAGCAGAACCCGGGCGCCUUCAGGCUAGCUCCCGCCCUGCCUGCCCGGCCCCACCGAGGCCUGAGCACGUUCCCGGGUGCCGAGCACUGCCUCCGGGCUUCCCCCAAGACCACGCUUAGCGGUGGCUUCUUCGUUGCUGUAAUUGAACGGGUCGAGAUGCCGAUCUCAGCCUCACAGGCCAAAGCAUCAGCACCAGAACGCACACCCAGCCCAGCCCCAAAGAGAAAGAAGAGACAGCAAAGAGCCGCAGCCGGUGCUUGCACACCGCCUUGCACAUAGCAGAGGCUCCAGGCUGACUCCUUCCUGGUGGGAAAGGAAGAUGCCUGUCCUCUCCGUGGAGGACCCUGGGCCCUCACCGCAGGCAGCAGUUUGCAUUUUGAAAGGUUAUUGGGUCCCUUCCUCGGGCUGUGUUCUUGCUGGUGAGCAAAAGUGUUGCCUGCAGAAAUAAAAUGCAGAACGUACUCUA
ensembl:lncRNA NSUN5P1 NSUN5 pseudogene 1